GAGUAACGCGUAUGCAACCUACCCAUAUUUGGGGAAUAACCCGGAGAAAUCCGGACUAACACCGCAUAAUAUCAUUGAAUGGCAUCAUUUGAUGAUUAAAUAUUUAUAGAAUAUGGAUGGGCAUGCGUCUGAUUAGUUUGUUGGUGAGGUAACGGCUCACCAAGACUACGAUCAGUAGGGGUUCUGAGAGGAAGGUCCCCCACACUGGUACUGAGACACGGACCAGACUCC
rnacentral:rRNA from 1 species